UAGAGUUUGAUCCUGGCUCAGAUUGAACGCUGGCGGCAGGCCUAACACAUGCAAGUCGAGCGGUAACAGAAAGUAGCUUGCUACUUUGCUGACGAGCGGCGGACGGGUGAGUAAUGCUUGGGAACAUGCCUUGAGGUGGGGGACAACAGUUGGAAACGACUGCUAAUACCGCAUAAUGUCUACGGACCAAAGGGGGCUUCGGCUCUCGCCUUUAGAUUGGCCCAAGUGGGAUUAGCUAGUUGGUGAGGUAAUGGCUCACCAAGGCAACGAUCCCUAGCUGGUUUGAGAGGAUGAUCAGCCACACUGGGACUGAGACACGGCCCAGACUCCUACGGGAGGCAGCAGUGGGGAAUAUUGCACAAUGGGCGCAAGCCUGAUGCAGCCAUGCCGCGUGUGUGAAGAAGGCCUUCGGGUUGUAAAGCACUUUCAGUCAGGAGGAAAGGUUAGUAGUUAAUACCUGCUAGCUGUGACGUUACUGACAGA
rnacentral:rRNA from 2 species